rfam:Methanocella paludicola SANAE DNA, complete genome.
UUUGGCGGCCACAGCGGCGGGGCACACCCGGUCCCUUUUCGAACCCGGAAGUUAAGCCCGCCCACGUCCCAGCCAGUACUGAGGUACGCGAGUCCCCGGGAAACCUGGAACGCCGCCAACC